rfam:Salmo salar isolate Sally breed double haploid chromosome ssa25, whole genome shotgun sequence.
UGCAUUCACUACUGUGAGUCGCUCUGGAUAAGAGCAUCUGCUAAAUGACUAAAA